rnacentral:lncRNA from 1 species
GAGACGGAGUUUCACUCGUACUGCUGCCCAGGCUAUAUAGUGCAAUGGCACCAUCUUGGCUCACCACAACCUCCGCCUCCCAGGUUCAAGCGAUUCUCCUGCCUCAGCCUCCCGAGUAGCUUGGAUUACAGGCAUGCACCGCCACGCCCAGCUAAUUUUGUAUUUUUAGUAAAGAUGGAGUUUCUCCAUGUUGGUCGGGCUGGUCUCAAACUCCCGACCUCAGGUGAUCCUCCCGCCUCGGCCUCCCAAAGUGCUGGGAUUACAGGCAUGAGCCAUGGCACCCGGCCAGGCUGAGAAUUCUUAAGACAGGAUUUUUUAAGGAUAGUUUGGUAAGCAUGGGGCUAGGGGAUGGGUUGAUGUGUUGGGUACUAUGGGGAACGUGGAAGUGGAGAAUAGUGUGGACUUUUGAAAGGAUGUCUGCCUAGGAGUGGAGUUGGGCAUGAGGGCAGGACUAAAAAAGAGUGAGUGAAGGAAAAGGGGUACGUGUCUUCUGGCCAGGGAAUGUGUCUUCCGGCUGGCUCUCUUCCUGCUUCUGCUAUCUUGCUGACACACGCUGCUGGUGCAAGUGGCGUUGUGCCUUGGGACUGGGCCUGAGAAGGGGGGAGUUACUCAUCCCUUCAAGCUUUGGGUCCCCGGGGAGAAUCUUUCAAGUAUGAACCUGGCCUUGUGAAAGCAGAGCUCCAGUUACACAGUGUAUCCCGAAUCCAUGAAUGUUAUGAUGGUGCUAAUUUGAACCACUAAGAGGCCUUGUGAGAGUCUCUUCUUUCCCAGAAAAUGUGGGGAACACAGAGAGUGUCUUUCUGGAUAGACAUACCCAAGAAACUUCUGCUGAGGAAAGUGAAAGCAAAGAUACAACUUAUCCCAGAAAGGGGAGUGCAUAUGUAGAUGGUGAUAAGUAAUAUAGCCUGAAAUAUUCACAUGGAUAUAAUUAGAGUUAGGGUUAUAGUUAAGGAGGAAGGGAAGGGAGACAGAAAGAAAGCAAGUAAGAAAGGAAGCAAGAAAAGAUAAAACUGUGUCCAAGUUUCUUACUUGUAUUAAACAGAGUGUUUUUCUAGAUAUUGUUAACCAAGAUAAGGAAUCCCUAAAGAGAGGCAGGCUUGAUUUAGAGCUGUCUGAGGGCUUCCAAAAGAGCUGUUCAGUGAAUAAGAAGGAAUCCAACCAUGGAGCAUCAGAGUCUAAGUUGGAUGUAUAGGUUUGUGUGUCUUCAGUAUUGUCUUGUAUUUUAAGACAGAAUUAGAUGUGCCCAUCAGAAAUGAGUGUAUGGCAUGAAAAAGUUGCAGAUGGUAGGCCGCAGUGAACUCCAAUUGUUUGGAAGGCUUAACUUGAACCUUCCUAGGCUAGAGAAUUUUAAAUGACUGAGAUGUUUCUAAUGUGCCUAGAGCUUCUUUUCUAAUGAGCCCAGGGAGGGCUAGAAUCUCUAUCAGAGUUAGUCUGGGAUGUAAAGGGGAUCAGGAUGUGCCACCCCAAUAUAUGCCACUUUAGCCUAUGGAUUAUUUUGAGCAGUUAAAAAAUUAGAAAUAGCAGGCCUGGUGCAGUGGCUCAUGCCUGUAAUCUUAGCACUUUGGGAGACCGAGGCAGGUGGAUCACCUGAAGUCAAGAGUUCGAGACCAGCCUGGCCAACAUGGUGAAACCCCAUCUCUACUAAAAAAAAAAAAAAAAAAAAAAUACAAAAAUUAGCCAGGCGUGGUGUGGCACGCCUGUAAUACCAGCUACUCAGGAGGCUGAGGAAGGAGAAUUGCUUGAAGCCAGGAGGUAGAGGUUGCAAUGAGCCAAGAUCGUACCACUGCACUCCAGCCUGCGUGAUGGGAGCGAGACUCCAUCUCAAAAAAAAAAGAGAAAAAAAGAAAUUAGAAAUAGCAGACAUAUGAGGAUCUCUGACCUCCCUUUCCUGCUGAAAAGCAGGGCAUACAUUUUGCUUUUGUAAAAAAAUUUGCAUUUAUAAAAGCUUCCACCUCUCCCCUACCUGGAAGAGAAGGAAACUCUUCUACUCUAAUACUUGAAGGGGGCCUGCCUCUCCACACCUGUGGGUAUUUCUUGCAAGGUGGAGACGAGACACUGAGAAAAGAAAUAAGACACAGAGACAGUAUAGAGGAAGAAAAGUGGGCCAAGGGGACUGGUGCUCAGCAAGUGAGGACCUGCACCAGCAUUGGUCUCUGAGUUCCCUCAGUAUUUAUUGAUCACUAUCUCUACUAUCUUGGCGAGGGGGAUGUGGCAGGACUAUAGGGUAAUGGUGGCCAGAGGGUCAGCAGGAAAACAUGUGAGCAAAGGACUCUGUGUCAUAAAUAAGUUUAAGGAAAGGUGCUGUGCCUGGAUGUGCACAUAGGCCAGAUUUAUGUUUGACUUUACACAGACAUCUCAGUGCAGUAAAGAGCAGUAUUGCCGCCAGCAGGUCUCACUUCCAGCCAUAAGGCAGUUUUCUCCUAUCUCAGUAAAUAGAAUAUAUGAUCAGGUUUUACACUGAGACAUUCCAUUCCCAGGGACAAGCAGGAGACAGAUGCCUUCCUCUUGUCUCAGCUGCAAAGAGGCCUUCCUCUUUCACUAAUCCUCCUCAGCACGGACCCUUUAUGGGUGUCGGGCUGGGGGAUGGAGGUCUUUCCUUUCCUACAAGGCCAUAUCUCAGGCUAUCUCAGUGGCGGGAAACCUUAGACAAUACCCAGGCUUUCUUGGGCAGAGGUCCCUGUGGCCUUCCACAGUGCAUUGUGUCCCUGGGUACUUGAGAUUGGAGAAUGGUGAUGACUUUUACCAAGCAUACUGCCUGCAAACAUUUUUACCAAGGCACAUCCUGCACAGCCCUAAAUCCAUUAAAUCUUGAGUCAAUAUAGCACAUGUUUCUGCGAGCACAGGGUUGGGGCUAGGGUUACAGAUUAACAGCAUCUCAAGGCAGAAGAAUUUUUCUUAGUACAGAUCAAAAUGGAGUUUCUUAUGUCUUCCUUUUUCUACAUAGACACAGUAACAGUCUGAUCUCUCUUUCUUUCCCCCACAAUGCUUGUUUGAGGACAUGUAUUAUCACCAGAGAGGACUUGAAACUGCAUAACAAACCGUACUUGCCAGACAUUUCCUAAUCACCUUCUCACUGUUUACUCCCUCCCCCUAUAAUCGAUAAUCGCAAAGCUUCCUUUCCCUUUGACUAUUCUAUUCUCUUCACAAUUUAUCACCCCUUGUUAAAUGGUAUAUAAGCCCCCAGCCCUAAACUCCUACUUGGGUUUUCACUUCUCUUUUGUGAAGCCUCAUUAUGUAUGCAAAAUAAAAUUUUUCUACUGUUAAUCUGUCGUUUAUCAGUUUAAGUGACAGGCUGGGGCUGGGCGCCGUGGCUCACGCCUGUAAUCCCAGCACUUUCGGGAGGCCGAGGUGGCCGGAUCACGAGGUCAGGAGAUCGAGACCAUCCUGGCUAACACAGUGAAACCCCGUCUCUACUAAAAAAUACAAAAAAUUAGACGGGCGUGGGCCGGUCGCGGUGGCUCCCGGCUGUAAUCCUAGCACUUUGGGAGGCCGAGGCGGGCGGAUCACGAGGUCAGGAGAUGGAGACCAUCCUGGCUAACACGGUGAAACCCCGUCUCUACUAAAAAUACAGAAAAUUAGCCGGACGAGGUGGCGGGCCCUGUAGUCCCAGCUACUCGGGAGGCUGAGGCAAGAGAAUGGCGUGAACCCCAGGGGGCGGAGCCUGCAGUGAGCCGAGAUUGCGCCCCACUGCACUCCAGCCUGGGCAACAGCGAGACUACGUCUCAAAAAAAAAAAAAAAAAAAAUUAGCCGGGUGUGGUGGCGGGCGCCUGUAGUCUCAGCUACUCGGCAGGCUGAGGCAGGAGAAUGGCGUGAACCCCGGAGGCAGAGCUUGCAGUGAGCCAAGAUUGUGCCACUGCACUCCAGCCUGGGCGACAGAGCAAGGCUCUGUCUCAAAAAAAAAAAAAAAAGUGACAGGCUCUACACACUGAAUUUAAGAAGGUAGAGGUCGGGUUUUUUCAUCAUCUACAAAGGUACUCUGCUUCUAAAAUGAGUUAGAACAAUGGAUUUGACCACAAUCAGAUGGACAUUAAGGGUAAGAAAGAAAAGUGGCUCAAAGCAGCCUGAGGAAUGUAAAGUAUGCAAAAUUUAUCAGGCUCAGAGAGACUUGAGCAAGAGCCUUCAGUCAUAUCCCUCUCAGCCAUACCCAGGAAUAACUGUUUCAAGGCAUUUUGACAGGGGCGGCGACUCAGCUCUUGCCUGUAAUCCCAGCUACUCAGCAGGCUGAGAUGGGAGGAUCACAUAAGCCCAGGAGUUUGAGACUGCAGCAGGCUAUAAUCAGGCUACUGCAUUUCACCCUGGGCAACGGAGAGAAAACCCAUCUCUAAAAAAGUUAAGAUAAAUAAAAAAUAAAUAAGCAAAAAAUAAAUUUGGAGCCGGGCGCGGUAUCUCAUGCCUGUAAUCCCAGCACUUUGGGAGGCCGAGGUGGGUGGAUCACCUGAGGUCAGGAGUUUGAGACCGGCCUAGCCAACAUGGUGAAACACCAUCUCUACUAAAAAUACAAAAAAUUAGCCAGGUGUGGUGGUGGGCGCCUGUAAUCCUAGCUACUCGGGAGGCCGAGGCAGGAGAAUCGCUUGAACCCAGGAGGUAGAGGUUGCAGUGAGCCAAGAUCGCACCAUUGCACUCCAGCCUGGGCAACAAGAGCGAAAUUCCAUCUCUAAAUAAAUAAAUAAAUUUUGGUGGUUUUUUUUUUCUUUCCUGUUGUUUCCAGACUAAUAACCUAAAAUGUUACCACAAGUUGGGCAAUGUGAGUCUCACUCAUUACCUUCUUUUUCCUGAAAUUAGUGACAUAAAGAAAAAUGUAUAGCCAACAAUAGCUUAUGUUAUUUUAAUAAACCAAUGUAAAAUUU